UUGAGAGAGAGGAGGGAUAAGUGAGCAUGCAGAGUGCUGUGGUCAGUGUCAAAAUGUGACAUGAUUUUCCCAGGCCCAGGUAUGCGUAGACCUGUCAUGGGAGUCGGAAAAAUGGCCAGCAGGAAGGUGUGCAGCAGCCACUGGAAUGGCCUCUUCCACCUCCUCCACUAACAGCUCCUCAUCAGCCGGCAGUGGGAUGUGAUCCUGAAGGGCCAUGUUGUGCAGAAGCGCCGUCACCAAAACUACACUGCACGCCUUUGCAGGAUGGAGCUUCAGGCCACCAGCAGAUUUGCUCACACACCUAAAGCGCCAUUUCCACAUGCCCAGGGCCCUCUCCACAACAACGCCUACAGUAACACUGUGUGUGAGUGUGUGUGUGUGUCUGUGUGUGUAUGUUGGUACAGCUGGCGCAGAUCCUAUAACCAUUUGAGAAUUAAAACAUUUUGUGCUA